UGUUCGAGCGUCAUUAUAACCCCUCAAGCUCAGCUUGGUGUUGGGGCCUGCCGUCUGGCAGCCCUUAAAAUCAGUGGCGGUGCUAUCUGGCUCUAAGCGUAGUAAUCUUUCUCGCUACAGAGUUCUGGUGGAUGCUUGCCAUUAACCCCCAAUUUUCUAUGGUUGACCUCGGAUCAGGUAGGGAUACCCGCUGAACUUAA
rnacentral:misc_RNA from 1 species